AAUCCCAUGGAGGGAGGAGCCUGGUAGGCUACAGUCCAUGGUGUCGCAAAGAGUCGGACACGACUGAGCGACUUCACUUCAAUCCCUUGACGUGUGUUGACUUUUUAAAUUCUUACAACAGCCCUGUGACGUAAGAACUCUUACUAUGCCCAUUUAUUUAUGGGGAAGUUAAGGCUUAGAGAAGCUUUGCUUUCAAAGAAUUUCAUUACUGUAUAGUAUCCCUCUCAUAAUCAGAGAAGCUGUGUAUCAGCUAUCAUCAUAGCUUGUUUUAUUGUAAGAAUACACUCUAUAAGGGUGGAAGAGGAUGAGAUGGUUAAAUAGCAUCGCCAACUCAAUGGACAUGAACUUGAGCAACCUCUAGGAGACAAUGGAGACCAGGGAAGCCUGGCAUGCUACAAUCUACAAGGUUGCAAAAAGUCAGACACGAUUUAGUGACUGAACAACAACAUACAGUAUAAUAUAUAAAACAUACAAAAUAUGUGUUAAUUGACUGUCUAUGCUAUUGGUAAAGCUUCUGGUCAACAGUAUGCUUUAGUAGUAAAGUUUUGGAGGAGUUCAAAGUUAUCUGUGGAUUUCCUACUGCAUGGGAGUCAGCACCCCAAUCCCCUACAUAUGGGAGGAUUUGUGUAUGUUAUAUGCAAAUACUAUGCCAUUUUAUAUAACAGACUUGAGCAUCUGUGGAUUUUUGAAUCUGCAGGGAUCCUGGAACCAAUGCCCCAAGGAUACUGAGAGAGGUUGUAGUUUACUUUCCCUCUCAAAUCAUGUUUGAGUAAAAUCAGCAAUCCAUGAUUCUCAUCCCCAAUUGCCAAAGAUUCCUGCCCUCCCAUCUAUGAGGCCCAGGGAUGACACUGGAGACUGAAGCUGUCCUUUAACAAAUGCUUCAGUGUUCCAUCAAAGGUGCAACUGCAAGCUUUCACUGCCUUCUUGGCAUCACAGCAUCGGAUCAGGAGAGACCCUGGUGGAGAAAUGCUGAGUCUACAAAAUGGUCCACUUCACCCAGCUUUUCACCUCUCAGCAGCAAGGAAAGCUCAUAAUCCCCUUUCACUUGCUUCAGACUAGCCCAGAAAUUUCACUAUAAUUUUAUAUGUCUGAAGACAAAGAAUUUGUUAAUCUUCUACCAAUUUGGAAUUAAGAUAAUUUGGACAGAGAUGAGACUAAAGUUACCUUUCCGUUGUUUAUGAAACUGGACUUUGCAAUGAAAAUUAAAUGUCAACUAUGUGUGAAUUUCUUUGAACCAGUUGAAUUUUAGAAAUGUUCUUCAGAUAGUUUGUCUAUACUUCUCAGAAAUAUAAAUCCAUAUAACCUCUGAUCCAGCAAUUCUAGAAAUGUAUAGUAGAGACAUACUUGCUCUUAGUGGAAGAAGUAAUAAAUGACCUAAAUGAAAGAGGAGGCUCUUUAUCUACUGAUCUGGAAUAAUCUUCAAGAUACAUUGCUAAUUCAAUAUCCUGUAAUAAACCUUAACGGAAAAGAAUAUGAAAAAGAAGAUAUCUCUGGAACUGAGUCAUUUUGCUAUAUAUCAGAAACUAACACAGCAUUGUAAAUCAGCUAUACUUCAAUUUAAAAAAGUUUUAAAGAGAGAUACAUUAUUAAAAUUGUAAGUAGAGCAACCAGUGGGUAGGACACUAAACACACCCAUUUGCUGGUGUGUGUGCAGACUACCUCUGGAAGGAUACACAGAAAAUCUGGUAGCCUUGAUUGAUUUUGGAGAUGAGACUGAAAGGCUGGAAGACAAGUAUGGAAGGCGGAUUUUUUUUUUUUUUCUUUUUUUUUUGCCUUGUGUAGCUUUUGAUCUUUUAAACAUUUUUAAACAUUGUAACUCUAAAUUUGAUUUUAAAGAUUCAAAACACUUGUUCAUUAAAAAUAUGAAUUAUCUCAUAUCUAUAGCUUGCCUCUGAGGAGAUUAAUUGAGGAUCUAAUGGAGCUGUGGGGGGGUUGGGGGGGAGACAACUUACUUUCAUUGUCUGCCUUUCACAUCUUUACUUUUUUUUUUUUUAACCAUGUGUAUCUAGGGGGAGAAAGGAAGUAUGUACCUUUAAGCAUUUUAGAUCUUCCAUAUAACUUGGUAUUUGAAGUUAUUAUAUACAUUCUUAAAUACUACAUUGAAAAAAAUCUUAUAAAGUUUUAAAAUUACAUAUUCUAAAUUUAUUCCAAUUCAAACUGACCUUUCACAUCCAUAUGAUUUUGAUGGUUUUGAUGGUUUA